UACGUAGGGUGCGAGCGUUGUCCGGAAUUAUUGGGCGUAAAGAGCUCGUAGGCGGUGUGUCGCGUCGGCCGUGAAAACCUGGGGCUCAACUCUGGGCGUGCGGUCGAUACGGGCAUCACUUGAGUUCGGCAGGGGAGACUGGAAUUCCUGGUGUAGCGGUGAAAUGCGCAGAUAUCAGGAGGAACACCGGUGGCGAAGGCGGGUCUCUGGGCCGUUACUGACGCUGAGGAGCGAAAGCGUGGGGAGCGAACAGG
rnacentral:rRNA from 1 species